CUCAGACCCCAAUUAGGAAGUCCUUUUCCUGGGAAAGUGGGGCAAGGAAUUUAUGCCCAAUGAUCACCACAGCCUGGAGAUCACAGGCACAGCUGGCCAAAGAACAAAAAGCCGAGGAAGGGCAGAAUUGAGUAUAGAGUCGGUAAGGCAGCACAAAGUGUUCACAUGGCUAAUAAGACAGCCUUCCAGUGCAGCACAGCCAUCCCAGACCGGAGAUCAUGCAAGACAUGUGCGGGACAGGAUAAAGUUACUGACAGAGAUAAAUACCUAGAGUGCACACCAAUCGAGAGCUGGAGUGGUCAAAUCAAAGGGCUGCUGCUAUGAUAAGGCCUACUUCUGCCUGCCUACCCUCAGAAACAGGAUCUCACUAUGUUGCCCAGGCUGGAGCAUAGUGGUUAUUCACAGGCGUGAUCCCACUACUGAUCAGUACAGGAGUUUCAUCUCUUUUUGAUAAAGAAGACUGAGGAUCCCACACAGGUGCACACUGUUUUGUGCUGUAGAUGUACAACUAAUAAAACAAAUCCUUGUCAAUA